rnacentral:pre_miRNA from 1 species
CAUUUGCGAAUCGCUUUCACCGGUGACUUUGGUGUGAAAAAGCGACAACUAAGGCACGCGGUGAAUGCCAAUCGCUUUUGC